ACUUUCCUUUAGUAGCGUGCCUCUGAGUUAGUUACUGAAUAUAACCUUCAGUUCAGGCCCAGAGUCUGAAAAUGUUCCCAGUGAUGAAACUACUGGGGAGGAUUAUUCACCUCUGAAUGGCAUCCCUUGUCUGGAAUUCAAAUUCAUCCAAGUUGUUUCUAUAGCUCUUCAACAACUUGAAGCCAUGGUUUUUUGCAUGUCUGACAACGAUGACUUCACCUGGACCCACCCGCCGCUCCUGUGGCCCCACACAGAAGUGAUCCGGCACACAUGAGAACCAUUUCCUACACCCUUAUGACUGCACCCCAACCAAUCAGCAGCAAGCUCCCAUUGCCUAGCUACCCCUCCUCUUCCUCCAAACUAUCUUUGGAAAACCCUAGCCUCUGAAUUUUCAGGGAGGCUGAUUUGAGUACAAAUAAAAUUCUGAUCUCUUGUUUA